UAGUUGAUGAUUAUGAAUCAAGUUGCCAGCUGUUAUAUGAUCACCAAGUCUGGAGUAACUCAAGACACUUACCUUGACAUCACAUAAUUACUCUUCCUUUCCCCUCUCUCCUUGUCGUGAAGAAACAAACUGAUCAGAGAAAGAAAAAAAAAAUUGCAGAGAGAAAACAGUGAGAAAGAAGAGAAAAAGUGAAGAAAAAAAAAAUCAGAGGAAAAAUCAGGGAAAAAAAAGACAAGACCUUGUAAGGGGGAGGAUCAAGUGAGUUCUUCUGUCCAUCAGUUGUUGUGCUGCUUGCUAGUCUUGCUGUCUCACUCCAGUUCGUCCUUGUACCUGUGUACUCCUUUGGUUCCUUUCAGCUUGUUUGAGAUCAGUUCCAAGCUUUCUUAAAAUUUCGGUUUCAAGACUUAUUUUAUGGUAACCAUUAGGCGGGAGACACUUUUCUCUUUUGGACUAGAAGAAACAGCGUAAUCAGCGGUAGUUUUUGUUGUCCUUGCAACGAACCUUUUGAUGUAUAUUUACUGUAAAACGUUGUUGGGCGAUAGGCCGCAUGAUAAAACUAUAAUGGUUUGUAAAAUGUUUAAAGUAAAUAAAUAAGGUAUAAAGGAUGUUUUAUAAACUACUAGUUCUCA